rnacentral:rRNA from 1 species
GACGAAGGAUGCAAGCGUUAUCCGGAUUCAUUGGGUUUAAAGGGAGCGUAGGUGGCCUUAUAAGUCAGUGGUGAGAUCUCUGGGCUUAACCCAGAAAUUGCCAUUGAUACUGUAGGGCUUGAGUAUAGUUGCCGUUGGCGGAAUAUGACAUGUAGUGGUGAAAUACAUAGAGAUGUCAUAGAACACCGAUUGCGAAGGCAGCUAACGAAACUAUAACUGACACUGAGGCUCGAAAGUGCGGGGAUCAAACAGG